rnacentral:lncRNA from 1 species
CUGGAGGUCAAAAUACAAUUUAGAAAAGUUGUGUCAUGUCAGCAGCCACGUCAGUAGCCCAGUCAGCAGCCCCAGUCAACCAGGACACGUCGCAUGGCAAGGACGCUGACGCAGGCGACCACGCGGGACGGAGCCACGUGGGCAAUCCGCGUGCACGCGAUCGAAAAGUCCAGAUCUCACGCGUGCGGAUGACCCAGAUCUCACGCGCACGGAC